UACGUAGGGGGCGAGCGUUGUCCGGAAUUAUUGGGCGUAAAGGGCGCGUAGGCGGCUGCGCAAGUCUCGGGUGAAAUCCCUCGGCUCAACCGAGGAACUGCCCUGGAAACUGCGCGGCUCGAGGCCGGGAGAGGAUGGUGGAAUUCCCAGUGUAGCGGUGAAAUGCGUAGAUAUUGGGAGGAACACCGGUGGCGAAGGCGGCCAUCUGGACCGGUCCUGACGCUGAGGCGCGAAAGCGUGGGGAGCAAACAGG
rnacentral:rRNA from 1 species